rnacentral:rRNA from 1 species
UACGUAGGGAGCAAGCGUUGUCCGGAUUUACUGGGCGUAAAGAGCGUGUAGGCGGCCAAACAGGUCCGUUGUGAAAACUGGAGGCUUAACCUCCAGACGUCGACGGAAACCGUAUGGCUAGAGUCCGGAAGAGGAGAGUGGAAUUCCUGGUGUAGCGGUGAAAUGCGCAGAUAUCAGGAAGAACACCAAUGGCGAAAGCAGCUCUCUGGGACGGUACUGACGCUGAGACGCGAAAGCGUGGGGAGCGAACAGG